rnacentral:rRNA from 1 species
CCUACGGGAGACAGCAGUGAGGAAUAUUGGUCAAUGGCCGAGAGGCUGAACCAGCCAAGUCGCGUGAGGGAAGACGGCCCUACGGGUUGUAAACCUCUUUUGUCGGGGAGCAAAGCGAGUCACGUGUGACUCAUUGAGAGUACCCGACGAAAAAGCAUCGGCUAACUCCGUGCCAGCAGCCGCGGUAAUACGGAGGAUGCGAGCGUUAUCCGGAUUUAUUGGGUUUAAAGGGUGCGCAGGCGGAGGUGCAAGUCAGCGGUCAAAUUGCGGGGCUCAACCCCGUACUGCCGUUGAAACUGCAGCCCUUGAGUGCGCGAGAAGUAUGCGGAAUGCGUGGUGUAGCGGUGAAAUGCAUAGAUAUCACGCAGAACUCCGAUUGCGAAGGCAGCAUACCGGCGCGCAACUGACGCUCAUGCACGAAAGCGUGGGUAUCGAACAGGAUUAGAUACCCCGGUAGUC